rnacentral:tRNA from 1 species
AAGAAAUUAGUUUAUAAAAAAUAAAAGAAUGUCAAUCUUUAGAUAUUAUUAUUAAUAUUUCUU